CAGCCGCCGCGGGAAUACGAAGGGGGCUAGCGUUGUUCGGAAUUACUGGGCGUAAAGCGCAUGUAGGCGGAUAUUUAAGUCAGGGGUGAAAUCCCGCAGCUCAACUGCGGAACUGCCUUUGAUACUGGGUAUCUUGAGUAUGGAAGAGGUGAGUGGAAUUCCGAGUGUAGAGGUGAAAUUUGUAGAUAUUCGGAGGAACACCAGUGGCGAAGGCGGCUCACUGGUCCAUUACUGACGCUGAGGUGCGAAAGCGUGGGGAGCAAACAGGAUUAGAUACCCCGGUAGUCCCUGUCUCUUAUAC
rnacentral:rRNA from 1 species